GACGAACGCUGGCGGCGGGCUUAACACAUGCAAGUCGAACGGAACGGCAGUGCUUUGGUGGGGUGCUCGAGAGGCGAACGGGAGGGUAACACGGGAGUAACAUGACCUUGACAAUCGGAUAACAUCAGGGAACAGGGGCUAAUACCGGAAAGGAGAUCCUGCAGCGAGGGGGGGGUUGGAAAGUUUCGGCGGCUGGGGAUGGAGUCGCGGCGUAUCAGCUUGCUGGUGUGGUAGUGGGUGACCAAGCCUCUGAGCCGUAGCCGGGCUGAGAGGGUGACCGGCCACACUGGGCCUGAGAUGCGGCCCAGACUCCUACGGGACGCAGCAGUGGAGAAUAGUGUACUAUGGGCGGAAGCCUGAUGUAGCAACGCCGUGUGCGGGAUGACGGCAUGCGGGUUGGAAUGCGAUGUCGCCUGUGACGAAGAGAGAGUGACGGUACUGGGUAAAGAAGCACCGGCUAACUACGUG
rnacentral:rRNA from 1 species